AUUGAACGCUGGCGGCAUGCCUUACACAUGCAAGUCGAACGGCAGCACGGGUGCUUGCACCUGGUGGCGAGUGGCGAACGGGUGAGUAAUACAUCGGAACAUGUCCUGUAGUGGGGGAUAGCCCGGCGAAAGCCGGAUUACUACCGCAUACGAUCUACUGAUGAAAGCGGGGGACCUUCGGGCCUCGCGCUAUAGGGUUGGCCGCUGUCUGAUUAGCUAGUUUGUGGGGUAAAGGCCUACCAAGGCGACGAUCAGUAGCUGGUCUGAGAGGACGACCAGCCACACUGGGACUGAGACACGGCCCAGACUCCUACGGGAGGCAGCAGUGGGGAAUUUUGGACAAUGGGCGAAAGCCUGAUCCAGCAAUGCCGCGUGUGUGAAGAAGGCCUUCGGGUUGUAAAGCACUUUUGUCCGGAAAGAAGUCCUUGGCUCUAAUACAGUCGGGGGAUGACGGUACCGGAAGAAUAAGCACCGGCUAACUACGUG
rnacentral:rRNA from 1 species